GCCGUGCCUCUCCCCACCUCCACCUUUCCCAUGUGAACCUCCCCCUCUCUCUUGCUUUAUCUCUGGAUCAAGACGCCACCACCAAUCUCACCCACCCGCUCCACCUUAUCUCCUCGCUCCCUUUUCUUCUUCAUCUGCAAGCAAACCAUAGGGAGAGAAAACCCUACCGAGCACCUCCACCUCACCAUGGCGCCGUCGCUUGAGGCUGCCCCUCGCCGAGUUGAGGGCACCGAAAAGUGCGCACCAUCGUCCUCAUCCUCCUCCCCGAAGGAAUUGGCCCAGGAGGCCCCCAAUCAACGACACGGUCGCCGUUCCCUUCUCCGUUUGGCCAUGCUCCGGCGAUGAUUUCAUUGCCGCCCUUCGUCCUCCUCCUCUUCUGACCACGCCAUCGGCUUCAGGGACCUCGUCGCCGGCGAACUUCCGGCGGGUCUCCGGCACCACAACCGCCACCAUCAGGUCCAGCAAGUGCAGGCGCAUCUCCAGCACCUACGCGCGCGUCCCGAUUCGCUCGGGAGCCUCAGAUCGAAACUCGUCUAUAAGCUCAGCCAUGGCAGAGUCUUCCCAGAUCUUCCGCAUCGGCCUGGUUAAAAAGGUUGCGCGCCUCGUUCUGGUCAACAGUAGACACAGUAGCCCACUGAUCUGGUGUCUGAUGGGCCUCGGCCCAAAUCUUCCCGGCGUAACUCUCUACUCCGUGCGCACGCGAGCCUAGUUCUGGCCCAGAACCGAGCAGCAUUUGCUUCUUCCCGGAUAGGAUCGCGAAGUGGUGUGGUGAGAUACGACAAGUUCUCCGGAUGUUCCUCGGCGAGCUUUAACAG